UCCAGCUCGAUUAAUCCGAAAAGGGGACAGGACCCCUGAAUCCAAGGGUCCUGUCCCCUUUUCGGAUCAGAAAGGACGGAGA
rnacentral:pre_miRNA from 1 species